rnacentral:rRNA from 1 species
UGAAGCAGCAACGCCGCGUGGAGGAUGAAGGGUCUAUGACUUGUAAACUCCUGUAAAGAAGGAAAAAAUUCCCAUUUGAUGGGAGAUGAUGGUACUUCUGGAGUAAGCCACGGCUAACUACGUGCCAGCAGCCGCGGUAAUACGUAGGGGGCAAGCGUUGUCCGGAUUUACUGGGUGUAAAGGGUGCUCAGGCGGAUGUGUAAGUCAGAGGUGAAAUCUUACAGCUUAACUGUGAAGCUGCCUUUGAUACUGCAAGCCUAGAGUUUGGAAGAGAGUGAUGGAAUAUCUGGUGUAGCAGUGAAAUGCGUAGAUA